GACGAACGCUGGCGGCGUGCUUAACACAUGCGAGUCGAACGGAAAGGCCCUGCUUUUGUGGGGUGCUCGAGUGGCGAACGGGUGAGUAACACGUGAGUAACCUGCCCUUGACUUUGGGAUAACUUCAGGAAACUGGGGCUAAUACCGGAUAGGAGCUCAUGCUGCAUGGUGGGGGUUGGAAAGUUUCUGCGGUUUGGGAUGGACUCGCGGCUUAUCAGCGUGUUGGUGGGGUAGUGGCUUACCAAGGCUUUGGCGGGUAGCCGGCCUGAGAUGGUGACAGGCCACAGUGGGACUGAGAUGCGGCCCAGACUCAUACGGGAGGCAGCAGUGGGGAAGAUUGCACGAUGGGCGGAAGCCGGAUGCAGCAACGCCGCGUGCGAGAGGACGGCCUUCGGGUUGGAACCCGCUUUCGCCUGUGACGAAGCGUGAGUGACGGUAAUGGGUAAAGAAGCACCGGCUAACUACGUG
rnacentral:rRNA from 1 species